GCAGCAAAAAACAAGAAGGGAUUGAAAGGCUCCAUUGAUGAUGUCCUUGGUGACCUCUUGGGGGAUGACAUGGCACCACCCGCGAAGCCUGUUAAAUUGGCUUCACAUGCCCAAGACACCACAGGUGCAGCUCAGCUGCUCCCUUCUUCAAGGACUAGAACAAAGUAAGCACAGGACUGGCUUGGGUGUCCACUACCUCUUUCAUUCCAAAUGUCCCCUUUUCCUCAACCUCCCUACUUCUCAUAUAGUGGGUACUCCUUUUUUUUUUUUUUUAAUUAACUUUUAAUUUUGAAUUGCCUUAGGACUUAACAGGACAGUUACAAAAAUAAUAAACACCCCAUGCAGAGAACUCCAACACAUCCCAUCCUACAUCCACCA
rnacentral:lncRNA from 1 species